rnacentral:rRNA from 1 species
UACGUAGGGGGCAAGCGUUAUCCGGAUUUACUGGGUGUAAAGGGAACGCAGACGGCAGUGCAAGUCUGGAGUGAAAGCCCGGGGCCCAACCCCGGAACUGCUCUGGAAACUGUGCGGCUAGAGUACUGGAGGGGCAGGCGGAAUUCCUAGUGUAGCGGUGAAAUGCGUAGAUAUUAGGAGGAACACCAGUGGCGAAGGCGGCCUGCUGGACAGUAACUGACGUUGAGGCUCGAAAGCGUGGGGAGCAAACAGG